GUUAAUGUAGCUUAUAUAAAGCAAAGCACUGAAAAUGCUUAGAUGGAUGCAGAAAUCCCAUAAACA
rnacentral:tRNA from 1 species